rnacentral:rRNA from 1 species
UGACUGUACCGAAUAAGANGUCGGCUAACUUCGUGCCAGCANCGCGGUAAUACGANGGACUAGCGUANUCGNNUACUGGGCUUAAAGAGUUCGUNGUGUUGAAAAAGUUGGUGGUGAAAUCCCAGAGCUUAACUCUGGAACUGCCAUCAAAACUUUUCAGCUAGAGUAUGAUAGAGGAAAGCAGAAUUUCUAGUGUAGAGGUGAAAUUCGUAGAUAUUAGAAAGAAUACCAAUUGCGAAGGCAGCUUUCUGGAUCAUUACUGACACUGAGGAACGAAAGCAUGGGUAGCGAAGAGGACUAGAUACCCUCGUAGUCCAUGCCGUAAACGAUGUGUGUUAGACGUUGGAAAUUUAUUUUCAGUGUCGCAGCGAAAGCGAUAAACACACCGCCUGGGGAGUACGACCGCAAGGUUAAAACUCAAAUGAAUUGACGGGGACCCGCACAAGUAGUGGAGCAUGUGGUUUAAUUCGAAGAUACGCGCAGAACCUUACCAACACUUGACAUGUUCGUCGCGACUCUAAGAGAUUAGAGUUUUCGGUUCGGCCGGACGAAACACAGGUGCUGCAUGGCUGUCGUCAGCUCGUGUCGUGAGAUGUUGGGUUAAGUCCCGCAACGAGCGCAACCCUCACUUUUAGUUGCCAUCAUUAAGUUGGGCACUCUGAAAGAACUGCCAGUGAUAAGCUGGAGGAAGGUGGGGAUGACGUCAAGUCCUCAUGGCCCUUACGUGUUGGGCUACACACGUGCUACAAUGGUAUCUACAACAGGAAGCAAGACUGCGAGGUCAAGCAAAUCCCUAAAAGAUACCUCAGUUCGGAUUGCACUCUGCAACUCGAGUGCAUGAAGCUGGAAUUACUAGUAAUCGUGGAUCAGCGUGCCACGGUGAAUGCGUUCCCGGGUCUUGUACACACCGCCCGUCACACCAUGGGAGUUGGUUCUACCUUAAGGCAAGGUUUAAUACCCUUGACCACGGUAUAGUCAGCGACUGGGGUGAAGUCGUAACAAGGUAACCGUA